rnacentral:sRNA from 10 species
UGAGCAUUCUAGCAAAAGUAAAGAGAUAGUACUUGAGGAUCAAGAAUCGGAGUACUCGGAAUUCGAUUCCCAUUACAAUGAGCUCAAGAUAGUCGAUAGAUAGCUCAUUUCGUUGAGGGUUAUAGUUGGACUUACAUCCUCAAAAACUAUAGACAAGGAUCUGCCUAACGUGUAAUCAUCGGCGUGUAUGGUCCACCGCAAAUAGGCUUGUUCGGGACUUGGCGGGUCUUUCUCGGAGGUCUCGAACUCCGGUAGCGACCGAGGAGGGGUCGUUACACUUAGUUUGAGGUUGGUGAACAGAAACUACUUGGAUCGAAGACGGCUCAACAUGUCAUCGACAAUAUUUGAUUGAUUCAGGAUAAGUUGUUGAGAGCUUAAAGAUGUCAAAAAUCAUACGCUGACCAUAGACAUCGAGACUUAAAGUUUAAGGUGGUGAGCUCUCUAACAAGGGUAAAGACGUUGUGUUAGAGGACUGAGAAUAAGAGUAUUUCAAACUCCUGAUACAGCUCAAGAUAGUCGGUAGAUAGCUCUUUUCAUUGAGGGCU